rnacentral:rRNA from 1 species
GCACCACCAGGGGUGAAGCUUGCGGUUUAAUUGGAGUCAACACCGGAAACCUUACCGGGAGCGACAGCAGAGUGAAGGCCAGAUUGAGGGUCUUGCCAGACAAGCUGAGAGGAGGUGCAUGGCCGUCGCCAGUUCGUGCCGUGAGGUGUCCUGUUAAGUCAGGCAACGAUCGAGACCCACUUCCCCUGUUGCCACUGAGGAAAAAUUCUGAUGGGCACUCUGGGGGGACUGCCGCUGAUAAAGCGGAGGAAGGAGGGGGCCACGGCAGGUCAGUAUGCCCCGAAACUCCUGGGCCACACGCGGGCUGCAAUGGUAGGGACAAUUGGUUCCGACUUCGAAAGAAGGAGGCAAUCCGCAAACCCUACCCCAGUUGUGAUUGAGGAUUGAAACCCGUCCUCAUGAAUAUGGAAUCCCUAGUAACCGCGUGUCAUCACCGCGCGGUGAAUACGUCCCUGCUCCUUGCACACACCGCCCGUCGCUUCACCCGAGUUUGGCUUUGACGAGGUCGUCUCCUAUUGGGGCGAUCGAAUCUAAGUUAGGCAAGGGGGGAG